rnacentral:rRNA from 1 species
AUGAACGCUGGCGGCGUGCCUAAUACAUGCAAGUCGAGCGAACAGAUAAGGAGCUUGCUCCUUUGACGUUAGCGGCGGACGGGUGAGUAACACGUGGGUAACCUACCUAUAAGACUGGAAUAACUCCGGGAAACCGGGGCUAAUGCCGGAUAACAUGUUGAACCGCAUGGUUCUACAGUGAAAGACGGUCUUGCUGUCACUUAUAGAUGGACCCGCGCCGUAUUAGCUAGUUGGUGGGGUAACGGCCUACCAAGGCGACGAUACGUAGCCGACCUGAGAGGGUGAUCGGCCACACUGGAACUGAGACACGGUCCAGACUCCUACGGGAGGC